AUGAAGCUUCGCCCCACCGCCGCCACUGUGGCUCUCCUCCUCUUCCUCCUCUUGGCAUCCUCGUCUCUGCGUGCCGCCAUGGCUGGAUCAGCGUUCUGCGACGGCAAGUGCGGGGUGAGGUGCUCCAAGGCGAGCCGGCACGACGACUGCCUCAAAUACUGUGGGAUAUGCUGCGCCGAGUGCAACUGCGUGCCAUCGGGGACGGCCGGCAACAAGGACGAGUGCCCCUGCUACCGCGACAAGACCACCGGCCAAGGGGCGCGCAAGAGGCCCAAGUGCCCAUGA
rnacentral:rRNA from 1 species